AGGGGUGACAGCCGCAGCCCGCGCCGGGCCGGUGCAGCAGAGGGCGGCCGGCAUUUCACUCCCAUGGACCAUGGCAACCCCCGAAGCUCUGCCGCUCCCGGGAGGGAAGUGCAGCUGUCAGUCAGGAUUGCGCAGCGGCUUCGUGGCGGAGAAGGGAGCCCAGCCCGGCUUCCUCCUCCUGCCGCGUGGAAGGGAAAAAUCAGGAGGGGGACCCCUUUGCUGACCUUUAUGCAAAGCACGGAGCAGGGGGAGGGACCUACAGGGGAAAGGCCCGAGAUUCUGAACCUAGUAGAUUGAUCCGGGGCCCCUCCCCUCCAUUCACCUUUGAAAUCCCCCAAACCGCUAUUUCCUAGUUUGCAACACCACCCUAGUUUGCAAGCUCCGAGGUCCAAGUGGUGGUGGCAACCCCUGCGAUCCAGUAUCCAUAUUCCUCCUCUGAAAGGCACACCUCCCCCCACCGCCGCCCAUCUAAACACUUUUCAGCUCUAAUAGGCAACCCGUGGAAUAAUCAUAGAUGCCAUGGCAUAGAGUGAGGCAAGGACCACUGCUAUAGCGGGUACCGCUAUAAUCACUUCUGUUUAAUUCUCUUCUGCUCUGCUCAUUCUGCUAAACAGGUGUCUGCAGAGCUGGACCGGAAAAGAGGGUGGUGGGCAGAUGAAAUCUGAGCCUCAGAGCGUGAAGGAAUGGGAGUGAAAGUGAAGCCAAGUUGUUACCCAAGAACAACAAAGAAAAAAAAGGAAUUCGGGUUUUGACAUUCAAAACAGGAUCUUUGUAACAGCUUUAUUGAGAUGUGAUUCACAUACCCUAUAAUGUACCCAUUAAAGUGUACAAUUCAA